GGAGAGGUGGCUGAGUGGUCGAAAGCGCAUCAUUGGAAGUGAUGUGUACCCCAACGGGUACCUAGGGUUCGAAUCCCUACCUCUCCG
rnacentral:tRNA from 1 species